UAAGACACAUUUGAAUAUACCCAUCGACGACGUAUGCAAUGCAAUUUAUUUACUCGAUUAUUUUUAAAAUUCACUUAUAAAAUUUACAAAGGUUAAAUACAAGGAACACAUACAUAUGAGUUACGCUACGGCCCUGUAUUAUGUGUAUUUUUGCACAUCCAUGCAUACACUGGCAGACUACUCUUCAUGAAGUGAGGUUAUGUCCGCAUAUACGAUGUCUUUCCAAACAUAGAUAUUUUGGGGUAGGGGAGAUAGAGAGUUACGAAAAGCUUGGCUGCAUUUUAUUGUACAAACGUAACCUCUCCUAUUCAUUAUGGUUGUGCAAAAAUGACGCACUUUGAACAUACCUAAACGGGUUUUAGGAUCGGAAGUGGUUAGAAUGCUCUUCUGCGAAAUUUAUUUGCACUCAGCAAACAAUGCUGGUGAUAUCGUUCUCUAUUUUGUCACUUUUGCAGUGAGACGGCUCUUUUCAAUAAAUUAUGAUAGGAUCUGUCCGCCAUGAAAUAAGUUGGAUCGAAGACAACGCAAUGGUUGGAUGCAGUUGAAACUUGCUUAAAAAUUUGGUCUAAAUACGACCAAUCCAUUGCCAGAGAGACGACAGACGACACGUGAAAGUGUUAUAAAUCUUAUGGAGGGAUGGAAGGGCAUUUUUGAGUUUGUUUUUACUCUCUGAUAUUUAGUAAGUUUCUUAAAGUUCAAGUUUAAAAUUGUUUCCAAAUUUUUACAGUCGUGUACAUGUAUAACUUCGAUGCAAAUUUGGCGAGAAGAAAGUGUUUGACAAGAAUUCUGUUAUUAAAUUCAGUCCGUCAAUACUGUUUAUCUGAGUUUUUUUAACUGAUCAUCAAAUGUUUAAUUGAAUAGCUAUGGGCAAAAGUAAAACAAUGUAAAUAUUUCUGAACACCAGUUGAUUUAUAUGAACAGUAAAAAAUGCAGAUAAAUAUAGAACUUGGUUAACAUUUUAUAAUGUAUCAAUCCAACACUUAAUGAAAUCGUCUCAUCUGUUGGCUUUUAAUAUAGCAAUAACUGAUAAAUGAUUAUGUAUCUAAUUUGACGGCGUCUUGCAAUCAGGAGUUUCACCUGGAGACACAACUUAAGGGGUUAUUGCCUGAUUUGGAAAACUUUAAUAUGUCUGUAUCAACUGCAUCGGUCGGGAUAAAAUAACAGGAUUAUUACUGCAUGAGUACAAAAUGACAGUAAUCUAAGUGAGUUUAAUUUACAAAGAUGAAGAACACGCAUGGAUUUCAACAAACCUAUGUAGAUCUUGAUAUGAAAGGGAAUUGAGGUGGUAAACAAAUAAAUAAGUUAAAUACAAUUAUAUACUUGUGAAGUAGUCAUGUUAGAAUAUUCAUUUUCUUAUAUUCUAGAAAUAUACUUUUUGCCCUGUACAUAUUUUGUAGAGUAUUAGGAAAACCGAGGAAACUAAAUUAUUGAGUUUUACUCCAUACUGCCCAUUAAUCUCGACCGACCAAGGAAAAAGAUAAGCACCUGGAAUUUGGUAAAGACUAGUAAAGAGACACCUAAAGACUUAUUGUUGUUAAGCUAAUUUUGAAGAAAUUUCACCUAAGUCAAAGAAUAAAUUCUUUUGACCUCGGACAUAAACACUCAAAGGAAAUUGUGGCUUUUGUGUUUUUAUUUUUAAGUAGGUGAAGCAACUCAUUCGAAGCAUUUUGAUAUGUGGAUCAUCUCCGUGCAAUUUGUUGGAUGAGAAUUUCGCAAACAACGUAAAACUAAAGCUAAAAUCCGAUUGGAUAAUAAUGAAACUAUUUAUUUGCUGUGAUCUUAUGAACGGGUUUUUCUACCAUGAAAUUUAAUUAAAUUUGUGCGAAAUAUAUUAAUCCGAAAGUUAAUAAAAUAGCGUAAGCCGUAUUAAAAUCGUCCAAA